rnacentral:misc_RNA from 1 species
ACUUCUCAACCCCGCCUUUUGUAAUGAGAGGUAGCCUGGGCUUGAAUCAUGGUCUUUUGCCGUUUAUUCGGCUAGACUGAAAUGCAGUAAGCUGCAUGCACGAUUGUAACGGCUUGACCUGAUGUUGUAGUAUCUAUAAACUCAUCGGGGAUCGUUAUUGACAGUUGCAAAGAGCUUUAAACUUUGAAUUUUAAUAGUACA